AUACAUUGAACGCAAGUUGACAAACAAAUUAACCUAGAGGAAGCUUAGUUUUGACCAUCUUAACAAUCAUCUAGAACAUACAAGUCACAAAAAGAUAAGGACUAUUGGUUACUAUGAGAGACUUCAGAUGGUCCAGAACGCACAAGUUUGUAUCUACAUGCACAAAGUGCAAGCUCCAAAACACUCAAAACACCAAAUGGUCUACAAGACAAUAAGGUCCAUGAUUACAGGUUGGUUGGUCCAUAAACGCUAGAGAGUCAUCAUGUCCAUGUGCAUCAAUA
rnacentral:lncRNA from 1 species